rnacentral:snRNA from 1 species
CUUAUUUCCGAGGGAGUAGU